GGCCCAGUGGCGGACGGUCCGCACCUGCUUUCAAUUACCAAGAGAUAUAUUGAUAUAUGCAGGAGAAUGCUUGUUCGACUCGGGCCUGGGCCA